AUUGAACGCUGGCGGCAGGCCUAACACAUGCAAGUCGAAUGGUAACAGGAAACAGCUUGCUGUUUCGCUGACGAGUGGCGGACGGGUGAGUAAUGUCUGGGAAACUGCCUGAUGGAGGGGGAUAACUACUGGAAACGGUAGCUAAUACCGCAUAACGUCGCAAGACCAAAGAGGGGGACCUUCGGGCCUCUUGCCAUCAGAUGUGCCCAGAUGGGAUUAGCUAGUAGGUGGGGUAACGGCUCACCUAGGCGACGAUCCCUAGCUGGUCUGGGAGGAUGACCAGCCACACUGGAACUGAGACACGGUCCAGACUCCUACGGGAGGCAGCAGUGGGGAAUAUUGCACAGUGGGCGCAAGCCUGAUGCAGCCAUGCCGCGUGUAUGAAGAAGGCCUUCGGGUUGUAAAGUACUUUCAGCGGGGAGGAAGGGAGUAAAGUUAAUACCUUUGCUCAUUGACGUUACCCGCAGAAGAAGCACCGGCUAACUCCGUG
rnacentral:rRNA from 1 species